GGUCUAAACGACGUACGGACCAAGGAGCCGCCUAGGGUAAAACUGGUGACUGGGGCU
rnacentral:rRNA from 1 species